rnacentral:lncRNA from 1 species
AAAACGUCUAUCGACUGAAAGCAAAAUCAUCGGAUUGCAUCAAAACCCCGAGUCCGAAGGUCGGAAAACCCUAGAAUUUGAAGGACUCACCAGAAUAAGACCAGAGAUGUCGGAAAAUCACCCAAAACAUCUACUGAUACAUGAUCGGAGCCUCAAAAAGUUAGAAAAGUCCCGAUUAUCUGAUUAAUCAUUCAUCGAAAA